rnacentral:rRNA from 1 species
AGUGGCGGACGGGUGAGUAACGCGUAAGAAUCUAACUUCAGGACGGGGACAACAGUGGGAAACGACUGCUAAUACCCGAUGUGCCGCGAGGUGAAACCUAAUUGGCCUGAAGAAGAGCUUGCGUCUGAUUAGCUAGUUGGUGGGGUAAGAGCCUACCAAGGCGACGAUCAGUAGCUGGUCUGAGAGGAUGAGCAGCCACACUGGGACUGAGACACGGCCCAGACUCCUACGGGAGGCAGCAGUGGGGAAUUUUCCGCAAUGGGCGAAAGCCUGACGGAGCAACGCCGCGUGAGGGAGGAAGGUCUUUGGAUUGUAAACCUCUUUUCUCAAGGAAGAAGUUCUGACGGUACUCGAGGAAUCAGCCUCGGCUAACUCCGUGCCAGCAGCCGCGGUAAUACGGGGGAGGCAAGCGUUAUCCGGAAUUAUUGGGCGUAAAGCGUCCGCAGGUGGUCAGCCAAGUCUGCCGUCAAAUCAGGUUGCUUAACGACCUAAAGGCGGUGGAAACUGGCAGACUAGAGAGCAGUAGGGGUAGCAGGAAUUCCCAGUGUAGCGGUGAAAUGCGUAGAGAUUGGGAAGAACAUCGGUGGCGAAAGCGUGCUACUGGGCUGUAUCUGACACUCAGGGACGAAAGCUAGGGGAGCGAAAGGGAUUAGAUACCCCUGUAGUCCUAGCCGUAAACGAUGGAUACUAGGCGUGGCUU